GCAGGGUAGCCUAGUGGUUAGAGUGUAGAGGAGGCAGGUAGCCUAGUGGUUAGAGUAUAGAGGAGGCAGGUAGCCUAGUGGUUAGAGUGUAGAGGUGGCAGGUAGCCUAGUGGUUAGAGUGUAGAGGAGGCAGGUAGCCUAGUGGUUAGAGUGUAGAGGAGGCAGGUAGCCUAGUGGUUAGAGUGUAGAGGAGGCAGGUAGCCUAGUGGUUAGAGUGUAGAGGAGGUAGGUAGCCUAGUGGUUAGAGUGUAGAGGAGGCAGGUAGCCUAGUGGUUAGAGUGUAGAGGAGGCAGGUAGCCUAGUGGUUAGAGUGUAGAGGAGGCAGGUAGCCUAGUGGUUAGAGUGUAGAGGAGGCAGGUAGCCUAGUGGUUAGAGUGUAGAGGAGGCAGGUCGCCUAGUGGUUAGAGUGUAGAGGAGGCAGGUAGCCUAGUGGUUAGAGUGUAGAGGAGGCAGGUAGCCUAGUGGUUAGAGUGUAGAGGAGGCAGGUAGCCUAGUGGUUAGAGUGUAGAGGAGGCAGGUAGCCUAGUGGUUAGAGUGUAGAGGAGGCAGGUAGCCUAGUGGUUAGAGUGUAGAGGAGGCAGGGUAGCC